rnacentral:rRNA from 1 species
CGCGUGAGGGAUGACGGCCUUCGGGUUGUAAACCUCUUUUAUUAGGGACGAAGCGUAAGUGACUGUACCUGCAUUAUAAGCACCGGCCAACUACGUGCCAGCAGCCGCGGUAAGACGUAGGGUGCGAGCGUUGUCCGGAUUUAUUGGGCGUAAAGAGCUCGUAGGCGGCUUGUCGCGUCGACCGUGAAAACUUGGGGCUCAACCCCAAGCCUGCGGUCUAUACGGGCAGGCUAGAGUUCGGUAGGGGAGACUGGAAUUCCUGGUGUAGCGGUGAAAUGCGCAGAUAUCAAGAGGAACACCGGUGGCGAAGGCGGGUCUCUGGGCCGAUACUGACGCUGAGGAGCGAAAGCGUGGGGAGCGAACAGGAUUAGAUACCCUGGUAGUCCAUGCUGUAAACUUUGGGCGCUAGGUGUGGGGGGCCUCUCCGGUUCUCUGUGUCGCAGCUAACGCAUUAAGCGCCCCGCCUGGGGAGUACGGCCGCAAGGCUAAAACUCAUAGGAAUUGACGGGGGCCCGCACAAGCGGCGGAGCAUGCGGAUUAAUUCGAUGCAACGCGUUGAACCUUACCUGGGUUUGACAUGGCCGCACAACUUGCAGAGAUGUAAGGUCCUUC